rnacentral:lncRNA from 1 species
CCGACAGUGGCUCUCUCUAUUGACCAGGCUGGCCCGGGCAGUGGAGCAGAAACAAUGAGCCCCGGCAUCACAGCAGCUGGACACGGUCCCUGACGAACUCCUGCUCCUGGAGGGUCCACAGUGGAGUGAGCAGCUGUAUUAACUGAUGUUCCCUGGAGAAACAACCAAAGGAGAGAGAUCUGGAGAGAUUUGUUGUCAGGGCUUCGUUCUCAGCUGACAACAACCCAGUUCGACAGGAGCAGGCUGUAGAGCGGUGAGGGUGAGUAAUUAGACACUAAUUAAUUUGCAUUUCAUGAGAGAGUCGGGGUGUUAGGGGGAAAAGGCUGCAAAGAUGAAAGGCCUUGUCCCAGGGAAAUCUGGGAUGAGACCCAGCCCAGAGGAGACGAGGGAAAGGCAGGUGAACAGGGCAGGCUGUGGAUGUGGACAUGACCAGGCCAAGGCAGAAAGGCCUAGGGACCCCCGGCACCCACCAUUACACCAACAGCCCCCGAGGCGUGGCAUAGAGAUGUAUUUGGAAUGGAGGAGGGAGAUGGGAAGAUAGAGAGAGGUAUGGAACACAUCCACCUUUCUAGAGCAGGAUAGGUGAACUUCCACUGCAAAGGACCGCAUCAUAAAUAUUUUGGGCUUUGCAGGACAUGGUAGUUUGUAGUCAUGUACUCUUUGUAAAAGAUGCCAAAGUCUUCCUUGGUUCUAGGGUCACAGCCAAACAAGUCACAGCUGGCCUCUGCCUCUGGUCGCCAAAUGACCUGUAGGGCCCAAAGUAAAAUUCUGCAUUUCUAACAAGGUGCCCGGUGGUCCGGGAACCCACUUUGAAUUUGGAGGAUCAGAGCCAUGGCAGAAGGUGGAGCUACAUGAAAGAUGCGUCCCUCGUUUGUGUGGUGACUUGAGGGCCCCAGGUUGCCCAGACCCCUCCCCCACAAGAAACAAAGGUAGAAAGGAGCUGAAGAAAAUCAGGAUUUAAAAAUUGCACUUGUAAGAAAGCUGGAGUUUCCGGACACCUUCAAAGUUCCCCAAGGUUACGAUGUUUUUCCCCUUCCGGGGCACUCAAUUCUAAGUUCCCAAAAGAUAUGAAAGACUGAGCCCAGGCCUUUCUCCUGUAAAUGGGCCUUUCACCUGUGAAUGGGCCAUCGCCUUUCACCUGUAAAUUGAGGCUGAGCUUUCUAUAGAUUCACAAAAUUCGAAGAUUUUCACCGGACCCCCACCCCCUAGCACUUAGGUGCACCCAGCCCUGGCCACAUCUGAGGCCUCCAGCUCCCUCAUCAAGGACAGAAAGGUGCCUCUCUCCAAGUCUUCCAGCCCAGACACAUCCCGAAUCAGUGCCGCCAGCUGAGAUCAGCGUCCAGCUCCCGGGAGGGGCCACUUCUACGCGUCCCAGCCAUUGCCAGUCCUCAGCUUUGGCUGGCAUCACGCCCUUCUUCAAGAGAGCAUCGUCAAACCUCUUUGGGUCAGGAUGUCAGCUCGCCCUCUGCCUGUCCCUUAUGAGGACGAGGAUGUUUGUGGCAUUUAGAGCCCACCCUGACAAUCCAGGAGAACCUAACCCUCCCAAGGUCCCUAACUCAACCAUACCUGUGGAGUCCUGUUUUCCACUUAUUCUGCCAAAAUUAUUUCCAGUCUAUACGGAUUAAAUACCCAGCUGUUCUGCACACACCGUUGCUUUCAGUUACAUUGAGCACCGCAGCUCACAUUAGCGGAGCCCUUACGCUAGGCGCAGUCUUUAAUGGACUGCGUCAUUUGCCCCUGCCCAAAGAAGCCAGCGAUAUGCUAAUCCCCCUUGCACUGUUAAGGAAACCAGGGGCGCCCAAAGUGAAGUAACUUCGCCCACGGCCUCCAGAUGUGCUGCUGGGAUUCCUGCUUCAUCUCUGGCUGAAGACUCUGCCAUCUGCCACCAUUGAUUGCCUCCCAGUGUAAACCGGGCUUCUCUGUGAAGCUAUUUACAAAGUUUGGUCUCGUUUGAACUUUGAAGCAGAGUCUCUUAUCAGAUCCUACAAAUUGCAGACAUAACACAGGAAGAGCUGCUCUAGAAAGCUGAAAAUCCAAUUACAACAGCCAAGGGAAUGCAGUUCUUUGGGGGCUACAUUUGUGACCUCUGCCUUGAAGCACAGUCCCCGCGGGGAGAAGGGAGGCCCAGGCUCCACCUGGCCCUUGGACAGCACAUCUCGCCGCCUCUUUAUUACUCUUCCCUCUCCGAACUGUUGGGACCUUGGAUGUGAGUCCUGCUCUUGCUGGAUUUAUGGGCUGAACUCCUUGGCUAAGCUGCUUCUUCACUCACAAGGAAACUGCCGUGGAAGAUGUGGACGGGGAGCGUCUUGUAUGCAGGGUUUCCAGAAGCGGAAGCUGCAGGUGGGGUGACUGCCCGUCACCCAACACGGCCACCAAGGAGAGGAGAUGCGUGAGGCUGAGGUGACUCCCCGGUCACACUUCAGAUGGCCUUUGGACGUCACAGAGCGCUCAGAUUCCCGGCGGUGGUUUGUGCUCGGAACAGAAUGGCCGGAUGUGCGGAGGACACGCUCCCCCACUUGAAGCUCACUUAGGGUGCUCUCAAAGCAGAUGCCUGCCUCAAGUGGACCUUUGGACUUUCCCUUGACUCAUGCGGGCUUCCUCCCCCACCCCUGGGCCUGUCCCAGCUGCCUCGGUGCCAGGACAUUCUGGCUCUUCACACACAGAAGCCAAGAGGGAUGGUUCAAGGGGACUCAGAAGGCAGUCGGGCCUGAACUUGACCCUGCAGGUCUGGAGGCUGAGACUGGAGAGCCCCAUCACCCACUGCCAACACCCAGAGGCCUCUGGGAAGGCCAAAUUAGGCCUGGGUGGGGUGCUGGCCUGGAGUGGUGGCCGUGACCCUAAGCAAGUGCUUGGGACUAUAUCUGACUCAGAGGGCAGCGGGGUUAAGCCAGGAGAAGUCAGAACCAAUGGAGAGGAAGACAAAAUAUGCAGAGGCAGUGUGGAUUCCAAAGAUCACAGGGAGAAUCGAGGAGGAGGCAGGGCCCAGAGCCAGGGGGAGGGGAGGAGGGCAGAUUUGAAGGCCCUCCUUGACCCAGGACAAUGGGGGCUCUCUGGUUUUGGAGAAAACAGGAUUUGAAGGUACCAAGGCAAAUAUGCAAAUGAAUGCAGAGCAAGAGUUGGGCGUGGCUGCAGCCCGAGGAUUUCUGCAGGCUCUGCAGGCAGGGGAAGUAGGCUUCCCUAUUGCGGUUGCAAGGCUGGCUCCCUUCUGUUGGCUCCAUUGAGCCUUUCUGCUGACUCAGACAGAGGACAGGAGAUAGCUGUGUCACCUGAGUGCUAACUCCAGGGCCCUUUGCUAAGGGGCUCCCAGUGUGGGAAUCUACCCCGCAAUGGCCCCUUGGAAUCUGCAAGGUUCAUGAUUUGUCCUUUUUUUUUUUUUGGUACUGGGGAUCAAACUCGAGACCUUGCGCUUGCAAGGCUAGUGCCAGAACCACUGAGCUAAAUCCUUGGGCCCUGCAAGGUUUAUGAUUGUCUACGCCAAAGCACCCAUGUGGAGAGGGGAGGCUAGGGCUCAGCAGGCUUCCAGGUCGAGCACCAGCUUGACCUAGUGUGGUCUAAGCCUGCUCCAUUCCCAAUGCAGUCUGGUUUUCCUGAUGCAGUCUGGUUUUCCUGUUGCCCAGGAAGGACCGAACUAGGUUUUGUUUUAAACUAUAAAAUCCACAAAGCAUAAACCAGCUGGGAACAUCACAGACACUCUGGCCUCUCACGCAGCUUUAGUAAACAUUCAUCUGUGGCCAUUGCCCAGAUGGGAUUGCAAGGCCCUCUGGACACCCUGCC